GCUGAUUGUAAUCGACGUUGUUUUAAUCGUGGAACUUGCAUUGCUGUAGGGGGUUUGGCUACGUGCGAUUGUAGAGGAACUGGCUAUAAAGGCAGGUUUUGUAAGACUGUAGACCCAAUCAAUAAAAGAGAACCAUGUACAUCUUCGUGGAAAAUUAUGUGUUGAUGUCAGGUCUGAAAAUACCGGUAUUUUGUCGUCGAGAAAAAUUGCCAACUGAUACAUAGGGCUGCUAAAGCUCGUAGCAGAGUCACAUUGUAUUUGGAUCUUUUCAUCUUGUGCCAUUAACAUAAGAACCAAUUAUUGUUAUCAUAUUAUAUUUUGUGAAAAGUUCUUAUUCUCAAUAGAUUGAUAUUUUUGUUUAGGUUAUAUUUAUAAACAGAUGCCCACGCCAUAUCCUCGGUGAAAAGUUCUUAUUCUCAAUAGAUUGAUAUUUUUGUUUAGGUUAUAUUUAUAAACAGAUGCCCACGCCAUAUCCUCGGUGUUAUAACCUUUCAAUGAAAACCCAGUAGGCCAUUUGGUAGAUGAGUUAGUGUUGCUAAAAUACUUUUAUUUUAAGUUAUAUUCUUACGACAACAUUUUAGAUCACAUGUUUUAUUUCAAUGUUUUAUGUUUUAUUGCUGAUGGAGUAGGCCUAUAUACUGUCGUGUUAAAAUAUCUUUACUGUAAGUUACAGAACGUACACAAAAUGUGUGAAUAAAGUUUUAUUGGUGAAAAAUGUUA